rnacentral:rRNA from 1 species
UAGGGAAUCUUCCACAAUGGGCGAAAGCCUGAUGGAGCAACGCCGCGUGUGUGAUGAAGGGUUUCGGCUCGUAAAGCUCUGUUGUUAAAGAAGAACGUGGGUAAGAGUAACUGUUUACCCAGUGACGGUAUUUAACCAGAAAGCCACGGCUAACUACGUGCCAG